rnacentral:rRNA from 1 species
GACAGAGGCCUCAAGCGUUAGGCGGAAUCACUGGGCUUAAAGCGUGUGUAGGCGGAUCGUUAAGUGCCUUGUGAAAUCCCACGGCUUAACUGUGGAACGGCUGGGCAUACUGGCGGUCUUGAGCCAUCUAGGGGCGACUGGAACAAACGGUGGAGCGGUGAAAUGCGUAGAUACCGUUUGGAACGCCAAUGGUGAAAACAGGUCGCUGGGGAUGCGCUGACGCUGAGACACGAAAGCCAGGGGAGCAAACGGG